GUUCGUGCGCAGUGGCAGUAUUGUAACCGAUGAGGUUUAUUCGAGGCGCGAUUAUUACCAAUUGAAAACUUUAUCCCAAUAACCCGCCACGCCGGCUUGCAACACAGUCGGCGUCGGCAAUUUUUGCGAGCUCCUUCAGGAG
ensembl:snRNA U4 U4 spliceosomal RNA